rnacentral:rRNA from 1 species
GACGAACGCUGGCGGCGUGCUUAACACAUGCAAGUCGAACGGAAAAGCCCAGCAAUGCGAGGUUGGGUUCGAGGCUCACGGGGGAUUAAUGGCAGACGGGUCCGUCCCGCGUUAUCGGCCUACCUCUUGCAAAGGGGUAUCCUCAGGAAACCGUGCUUCUUACCCUAUGACGCGUUUGUAAAGCUUCUUAGGAAUGGUAAAGCUACGGCGGUUAGGGAUGUGCUGGCGGCUGAUUAGCUUGUCGGUGAGGUGACGGAUCGCCCAGGCGAUGAGGGGUAGCGGGCCCGGGAGGGGGACCGGCAACAUUGGGACUGAGCUACGGCCCAGACUCCUACGGGAGGCAGCGGUGGGGAAUAUUGCACAAUGGGCGGAAGCCUGAUGCAGCAACGCCGCGUGCGGGAUGACGGGCUUCGGGUUGUAAACCACUUUCGCCUGUGACGAAGCGUGAGUGACGGUAAUGUGUAAAAAAGCACCGGCUAACUACGUG